GACGAACGCUGGCGGCGGGCUUAACACAUGCAAGUCGAACGGAAAGGCCCUGCUUUUGUGGGGUGCUCGAGUGGCGAACGGGUGAGUAACACGUGAGUAACCUGGCCUUGACUUUGGGAUAACUUCAGGCAACUGGGGCUAAUACCGGAUAGGAGCUCCUGCUGCAUGGUGGGGGUUGGAAAGUUUCGGCGGUUGGGGAUGGACUCGCGGCUUAUCAGCUUGUUGGUGGGGUAGUGGCUUACCAAGGCUUUGACGGGUAGCCGGCCUGAGAGGGUGACCGGCCACAUUAGGACUGAGAUACGGCCCAGACUCCUACGGGAGGCAGCAGUGGGGAAUAUUACACAAUGGGCGGAAGCCUGAUGCAGCAACGCCGCGUGCGGGAUGACGGCCUUCGGGUUGUAAACCGCAUUCGCCUGAGACGAAGCGUGAGUGACGGUAAUGGGUAAAGAAGCACCGGCUAACUACGUG
rnacentral:rRNA from 1 species